UCAUCUUCGGGGGUAGAGCACUGUUUCGGCUAGGGGGUCAUCCCGACUUACCAACCCGAUGCAAACUACGAAUACCGAAGAAUGUUAUCACGGGAGACACACGGCGGGUGCUAACGUCCGUCGUGAAGAGGGAAACAACCCAGACCGCCAGCUAAGGUCCCAAAGUCAUGGUUAAGUGGGAAACGAUGUGGGAAGGCCCAGACAGCCAGGAUGUUGGCUUAGAAGCAGCCAUCAUUUAAAGAAAGCGUAAUAGCUCACUGGUCGAGUCGGCCUGCGCGGAAGAUGUAACGGGGCUAAACCAUGCACCGAAGCUGCGGCAGCGACACUAUGUGUUGUUGGGUAGGGGAGCGUUCUGUAAGCCGUUGAAGGUGGCCUGUGAGGGUUGCUGGAGGUAUCAGAAGUGCGAAUGCUGACAUAAGUAACGAUAAUGCGGGUGAAAAACCCGCACGCCGGAAGACCAAGGGUUCCUGUCCAACGUUAAUCGGGGCAGGGUGAGUCGACCCCUAAGGCGAGGCCGAAAGGCGUAGUCGAUGGGAAACAGGUUAAUAUUCCUGUACUUGGUGUUACUGCGAAGGGGGGACGGAGAAGGCUAUGUUGGCCGGGCGACGGUUGUCCCGGUUUAAGC
rnacentral:rRNA from 1 species